ACUAAAUAGAUACCCGGUAGUCCACGCCCUAAACGAUGUCUACUAGUUGUUGGUGGAGUAAAUCCAUGAGUAAACGCAAGCUAAACGCGUGAAGUAGACCGCCUGGGGAGUACGGUCGCAAGAUUAAAACUACAAAGGAAUUGACGGGGGCCCGGCACAAGCGGUGGAUUAUGUGGAUUAAUUCGAUGCAACGCGAAAAACCUUACCUGGCCUUGACAUGCCACUAACGAAGCAGAGAUGCAUUAGGUGCCCGUAAGGGAAAGUGGACACAGGUGCUGCAUGGCUGUCGUCAGCUCGUGUCGUGAGAUGUUGGGUUAAGUCCCGCAACGAGCGCAACCCUUGCCAUUAAUUGCCAUCAUUUAGUUGGGC
rnacentral:rRNA from 1 species